GACAGAGGGUGCAAACGUUGUUCGGAAUUACUGGGCGUAAAGCGUGUGUAGGUGGCUGCGUAAGUCGGAUGUGAAAGCCCUGGGCUCAACUCAGGAAGUGCACUCGAUACUGCGUAGCUCGAGUACCGGAGAGGUUGGUGGAAUUCUCGGUGUAGAGGUGAAAUUCGUAGAUAUCGAGAGGAACACCUGUGGCGAAGGCGGCCAACUGGACGAGUACUGACACUGAGACACGAAAGCGUGGGGAGCAAACAG
rnacentral:rRNA from 1 species